rnacentral:rRNA from 1 species
AUACGGAGGGUGCAAGCGUUAAUCGGAAUUACUGGGCGUAAAGCGUACGUAGGCGGUUAUUUAAGUCAGAUGUGAGAGCCCCGGGCUUAACUUGGGAACUGCAUUUGAAACUGGGUAACUAGAGUUUAGUAGAGGGGAGUGGAAUUUCAGGUGUAGCGGUGAAAUGCGUAGAGAUCUGAAGGAACACCAGUGGCGAAGGCGACUCCCUGGACUAAAACUGACGCUGAGGUACGAAAGCGUGGGUAGCAAACAGGAUUAGAAACCCCGGUAGUCC